UGGGGAAUAUUGGACAAUGGGCGCAAGCCUGAUCCAGCAAUGUCGCGUGUGUGAAGAAGGCCUUCGGGUUGUAAAGCACUUUUAUCAGGAGCGAAACGCUGUCGGCUAAUACCCGGCGGAACUGACGGUACCUGAGGAAUAAGCACCGGCUAACUUCGUGCCAGCAGCCGCGGUAAUACGAAGGGUGCAAGCGUUAAUCGGAAUUACUGGGCGUAAAGCGUGCGUAGGCGGUUUCUUAAGUCUGCUGUGAAAUCCCCGGGCUCAACCUGGGAAUGGCAGUGGAUACUGGGAGGCUAGAGUGUGUCAGAGGGUGGUGGAAUUCCCGGUGUAGCGGUGAAAUGCGUAGAGAUCGGGAGGAACAUCAGUGGCGAAGGCGGCCACCUGGGACAACACUGACGCUGAGGCACGAAAGCGUGGGGAGCAAACAGGAUUAGAUACCCUGGUAGUCCACGCCCUAAACGAUGCGAACUGGAUGUUGGUCUCAACUCGGAGAUCAGUGUCGAAGCUAACGCGUUAAGUUCGCCGCCUGGGGAGUACGGUCGCAAGACUGAAACUUAAAUGAAUUGACGGGGUCAUAGCUGUUUCCUG
rnacentral:rRNA from 1 species